CCUACGGGGGGCAGCAGUGAGGAAUAUUGGUCAAUGGGCGGGAGCCUGAACCAGCCAAGUAGCGUGAAGGAUGACUGUCCUACGGGUUGUAAACUUCUUUUAUAAGGGAAUAAAGUGUGGCACGUGUGCCUUUUUGUAUGUACCUUAUGAAUAAGGAUCGGCUAACUCCGUGCCAGCAGCCGCGGUAAUACGGAGGAUCCGAGCGUUAUCCGGAUUUAUUGGGUUUAAAGGGAGCGUAGAUGGGUUGUUAAGUCAGUUGUGAAAGUUUGGGGCUCAACCGUGACAUUGCAGUUGAUACUGGCAGCCUUGAGUACGGGUGAGGUAGGCGGAAUUCGUGGUGUAGCGGUGAAAUGCUUAGAUAUCACGAAGAACUCCGAUUGCGAAGGCAGCCUACUAAACUGACACUGACGUUGAUGCUCGAAAGUGUGGGUAUCAAACAGGAUUAGAUACCCUUGUAGUC
rnacentral:rRNA from 1 species